rnacentral:misc_RNA from 1 species
GAUGAAGAACGCAGCGAAAUGCGAUAAGUAGUGUGAAUUGCAGAAUUCAGUGAAUCAUCGAAUCUUUGAACGCACAUUGCGCCCUUUGGUAUACCUUAGGGCAUGCCUGUUCGAGCGUCAUUUAAACCUUCAAGCUAAGCUUGGUGUUGGGUGACUGUCCGCUUCACGGCGGACUCGCCUCAAAAUUAUUGGCGGCCGGUACAUUGGCUUCGAGCGCAGCAGAAACGCGAACUCGGGCCCGUCGUAUUGGCUCCCAGAAGCUAUCUUCACAAUUUUGACCUCGGAUCAGGUAGGGAUACCCGCUGAACUUAAGCAUAUCAAUAAGCGGAGGA